AAGAAACGUGUAGGCUGCUGCUAGGAGACUUGGGUCCAACUGCUCCCUCCAGAUCCUGCCACACCUAAAUGAUCCCAAGAAGAUAACUAUCUCGGAGAAGCAGUGUGAGAAACAUGGAGCAGAACAGCUACUCCUUAUAAGCAAAGAGGGAGCAAAGAUCAAUGACAUAAUUCACAUCUGCAGACAACUAUGAGCUCACAGGAAACUGAGAAUUUGUAUGACCUUCAUCCCAUAGAUGAGAAGCAGGCUCUCAGACUGGUAAGUAAUUGUCUGAUUUGGAAAGUGAAUUGCCAAUAUUUGGUAAGAGGCACAGAAAUAACCACAUAUGAAAAGCUUAAGAUGAUGUUAAGUAAAAAAUAAAAAGCCAAGACAAAACUCGUCUAUAUUAACACUUCUAAACUGCACGUGUGUGUAUAUGUGUGUGCUUAUAUAUAUUAACUAUUGGAAAGUUAAAAUUUGUAGGACUUGU
rnacentral:lncRNA from 10 species